AACGCACCUUGCGCCCUUUGGUAUUCCGAAGGGCAUGCCUGUUUGAGUGUCAUUAAAUUAUCAACCUUGCUCGCUUUUACCGGCUUGAGUCAGGCUUGGAUGUGAGGGCUUUGCUGGCUGUGAAGUCGGCUCCUCUGAAAUGCAUUGGCAAAUGCGUGUGCAUGAGUCGGCCUUUCGGUGUGAUAAUGAUCACCGUGGCUGGAUUGCUUUAACGUCUAUGCCCAACCUUUUCCAUUGACUUGGAAAAACCCCACUUGACAUUUUGACCUCAAAUCAGGUAGGACUACCCGCUGAACUUAA
rnacentral:rRNA from 1 species